rnacentral:rRNA from 1 species
CAAGGCGAACCGGGGAAACUGAAACAUCUCAGUACCCCGAGAAAAAGAAAUCAACCGAGAUUCCCCCAGUAGCGGCGAGCGAACAGGGAGCAGCCCAGAGUCAACAUCAAUAUUUACCGCAGGAGAAGGGUCUGGAAAGGCCGGCAAUAAAGGGUGAUAGCCCCGUAUCCGAAGCGGUAGGUAUUGUGAACUCGAAGAGUAAGGCGGGACACGUGUUAUCCUGUCUGAAUAUGGGGGGACCAUCCUCCAAGGCUAAAUACUCCUGACUGACCGAUAGUGAACCAGUACUGUAAGGGAAAGGCGAAAAGAACCCCGGCGAGGGGAGUGAAAUAGAACCUGAAACCGUGUACGUACAGGCAGUAGGAGCACCCGAAAAGGUGUGACUGCGUACCUUUUGUAUGAUGGGUCGGCGACUUAUAUUCUGUAGCAAGGUUAACCGCAUAGGGGAGCCGUAGGGAAACCGAGUCUUAACUGGGCGUUAAGUUGCAGGGUAUAGACCCGAAACCCGGUGAUCUAGCCAUGGGCAGGUUGAAG